rnacentral:lncRNA from 1 species
GACAUGAUUAUUACUGGGAAUGAUAAACAUGAAAUAUCUCAACUACAAGAAUAUUCGCUUAAGAUUCCUUCGUAUUCUUCGCUUCUCUUUCUCCCUACAAAACAAAUCGGAGUAAAAGAACCAUACCUAGGGGGUGUUGGCCAAAGGCCCUCCGAUGCCUAAGUUAGGAUGGGUUUUGUAGGAAAAUCGGGUGGCCAGAGCCGUGUGUGGUGGCCG